UUGCUUGCUUGCUUGCUUGCAGUGGCGGUAAAUGAUUUGCUAGAAAGCCAGCUUUCUUUAACUUUAGACCAUUUUUGUAUGUUUUUUCCUUCUCCCGAAUCAUGAAGCUUUGUUUUUACAGGCAUUCUUCUUCACAAGCCUCGCUGCUCUCUGCAUCUUCAUAGUUGCCUGAGAGGGCACAGGGCAUUGAUUUAAGCUGACCAGCUUACUUGGUGAUGAAGGAACCGAACGUCUCCCUCUAUCCUUUGUCAUGUCCUAUCCUUUUGUAUCCUGUUCUGUUCUUUUUCUCCUCUGUCUGCUUGCACCUGCAAGCUUUCUAAAAACGCCUUUCUAAACGCCCUUCUUGUCCAAAAUGAUGAACCCUUGCCAUCGUCCAAAUUGAAGAACCUAUACUUGCAUAAACACCCAAUCCUGUGGGAUUCUAACCAGAUCUGUUGUACCCUGUAUACUGUUUUCCUGUGAUUUGUUUCAGGUCAGACGAUUAUUUAAAGAAGCAGUUUUUCCAGUUGAAGGCCAUCACUACAGGGGCCCCAGACCAUUUGCAGCUGAAGACACACAUUCACAUCAUUCACUGAAGCUGUAGUUACUGGUCAUAUCUCAUAGCCGUACAUUGCAAGAGCAAAACAAACAGCAGCUUCAAGUGUGUAUAUUUAUACAUGAACAUUUACUGUUGAAGGAUUUUAGGCUUGUGCAUUUAUUUAAUUCAUUUGUCAUUUUAUAGUUUAUUCAUAGUUUAAGCCAGCUUAAAGCUCUUGAUGGUGAAGAAUCGUAAUACUUGGGAUUCAGUCAUUUAAUUUUUGAAUUAUACGAAUGUUUAAUGCUUCUGUUUAAUUGAAUAAUACAGUGUGUACAUUGUUUCUGCUUCUGAACAUUUCUAAGCAUAUUUAUUAAAUACUGUAAGUUUAUUAGAA